rnacentral:rRNA from 1 species
AUUAAACGGCCGCGGUACCCUAACCGUGCGAAGGUAGCAUAAUCACUUGUUCUUUAAAUGAGGACUAGUAUCAAUGGCAUCACGAGGAUCUUACUGUCUCCCCGCUCCAAUCAGUGAAACUGAUCUCUCCGUGAAGAAGCGGGGAUAUUUAUAUAAGACGAGAAGACCCCAUGGAGCUUUAAACCCAACAGCACCUAUUCUUUUUAUAUCUUCAUAUUCUCCUAGUAAAUGCUUGUUUGGUUUUAGGUUGGGGUGACCACGGAGUAAAAAACAACCUCCACGAAAAAGGAGCUAAUAACUCUUAUCAAAGAAUCACACUUCCAUGAAUUAGUAAACUAAUUUUUAAUGAUCCGAUUUUCGAUCAACGA